CCAGUUAUUCUGAACUGAGUGGAGAUUGCAUUUGUUUGUUUCAGAAUCUCAGAAAAAAACCCACAGUUUUAGGCAGUUCUGGAUGAAGGUGCAUGCUGGAAUAUACAGGUAUAUUUAUUUACCCAUCCCUGCUAAGAGACCUUUCCAGUUUUCUUUGCAUUCACCGAAGACCAGCUAUGUGCUGUCAACUUCUGAACUGUUUGUAAGUGUUGGUUGCAGUAACACAUGCCUUUCUCUAGAUAAUUAUCUAAAGAACCUUCUUGGAGUGUUGACUACCCUAGGUGAUACAGUUUAUAAUACCACAAACAAUUUGGGAGCAUAGUUGUAUCCCCCAGUCCCUAAAGACCAGGUUAACUAAAUGAAAGAUCAGUGGAAAACUGGAUUUGAAAUGUAGUUGUUGAUGGUUCACGCUCCAGAUGAUGACUGGUUACUAGUGACUGGUUUCUUGGGGAGUCAGCUGAUUAAGGACAAGCAGUUGGAUGGAGUUUAGGCAGCUGGUGGGUAUAGGUCCUGUCCUGGAAUCAAUAUUGAGAGGUUUGAUAAGGAAUUUUGUGGUUGAUAAAAAGUGGCAUCAGGUGAUGUGAAGUAUUUCAGGAUGUUUAAAAAUGUCUGUUGGGGAAUAAAAAAGGCAAGAUCUCUCUAAUCCUGUUCCAGUGCAUGAGCUGUAGAACUCUUUUAGUGUCUUGCUUGAGUGGAAUCAACAGAGAAGGUGUGGUACCUCUGAUCUGAGUAGCCAAAACUGCAUGACAUGUUUCAGGUGAGGAUUUACUUUGCACAAGAAUUAUGGGGAUUUGACUUGCACAGUGAUGCUAAUGCUGUUUUAUUUCUGUUGGAAACACCUUGCUGUGUUUUUAGUCUUUUACAGGACACUGCUUAAUGGUGUGUUGUUGUGUUGAAGAAAUACAUGCAACUUGUUUCAUGUUGUAACUACCUGUUUCUGGAGCUAGAACUUAAUUCAAUUCUUUUUGCUCUGAGAAAUGUUGAAAAAAAUAUUCUGUGGUUUUUUUGUUUGUGUUUUCUGUUUGGUUUGUUUAGGGUUGAACUUGCAAGGAAGUGAGUACAGUAGAAAGAAAUACGGGCACUAAUCCUUGCAAAUUUACACAUACUGAAUAACUACUAUAUGUGUGUAUUCUUGUGUGUAUUGCAGCCCAAAUGCACUAGGCUUUUUAUAUACAGUUAUUUUUUGCUACACAGUAUAACUGUAGAACAAUUAGUAUCAUGCUCAUGUAAUAUUUGGCUUGUUUUCGUGCUAUGCAAAGGAUUGAAAUCUUGAAAUGAGCCUGUAGAUUCUCUUGCUUUGGCUUUUCCUGUAUUGCUUAUAGUUAAGAAUAAAUUAAAUCAGUUUUCAGCUUGCUGAAAUAUUAACUAUACAUUUUCUUCCUGUCUUCUGCCAACAGACUUCUACAAAAAAGUAUCAAGCUUUUCUUUAAAUGCCAAUCUAAUCUUCCAGUAUUUUUCAGAUGCUGGAAUGCCUCCUGCUCUUUUUAAGCAGCACUAAAAUAGAGGAUCCAGAGCUUUUGUUCAGUUGGUUAUCCUUCCACUAAAUGAAGUCCUCACCCACUCAGCUUUUAGGAUUGUAGGGAGAAACUUUAUUGUAAGGAAUGCCCAUAACCAUCAGAGAGUUGGGUCUCUCCUAGAUGCUUCCUCCCAACUUAAAGCAAGGAAGGGCUUGGUCAAACAUUUGAGUCUUCACACCGAAUGUGCCUGUUCUUUUUAUGGAGACUUGCUAUCUUCACUCCUUUGUACUCCAUACAUCUUCCUCGUGGACUCUAGAACAUGUGUAUUCCAAACUGUUUCUGUGUUUGUAGGGUUCUCUGUAUACCCAAAGCUGUGAAGAUUCCUUGAUUUUAGUAACAGUCAGAUCUGAAGGGUUGUUAAUGUUACUGGAAUAAUACAUGUUGGAACAACUAUCGAUGGGGUCUCCUUCUGUGUGAAGGAGGGCUUUGCUUAGAAGAGGAUUAAAUCAAGGGUGUAUCUAAAAAGGUCUUGCCUUUCAUAACAGAGCGAAACAAACCCAGAAUGUUUGAGGAAUAUAGCCUGUAAAAGGGAAGAGGCUGUGUACUCCUGUGAGAGAAAGCAGAGGUAGAAACAUGGCUGUUGUCCUACAUGCACUGAACAUAAUACUUAAAAGUGGAGUGGUUUUGGCCCGAGGAAAGCCAUGCUGGUAGCCCCAGUAAUGGAUGAUUAAAUGAGUGAGUGAUUUUGGGGCAGUGACUUCCAGCUGAAUAUAAUUGAAAGCUUUUAGCAAUCAUUCUUCCCAUGGUGGUUGUGCACUCCACGUUUAAUCGUAAGCAAAAGAGCUGGUUGGCUGGGGUUUUUUUGUAUUUUCCAAAUAGUUUUAUAGCAUUCCCUCAUUUAAACUCAAUAAAGGGGGAAUGAUAAUUGUGACUUUGAUUCUUCUGCCUGAUCCAGACAGAUUGUGUAAUUGUAGCUGAAUUCCAAGCUCUUUUUACUAUUCUGUGAAAAGUCUGGGACUUUGGACAGAGUUCUGAUUUUUCUGUCUUCUCCCACAGUCUGGAAAUUGACAGGUAGAGGGCAGCAAAGUUCUAUUUUUUAGGUAAAGUUCAAACAAUUUUUUAUUGAAGUGUUUUUUAUCAAGCUAAAUAAUGAUUGUGUCAGUUUGAUGCAUUGGUUGA